ACACCACUCACCACAACACGCGACCUCACACUACACACGGACAGUUCGCAGUACCUCGAGCAUUGAUACUCGCCCGUCAUAGUAUCCUCGGGCUGGAAACGAUCGGUUGGAAACGCGCCGCGUGUAGGGAGACGACUCGGAAGUCCGUCCACACUCAGGGACAGACAUGAAUACAUCAAUACUAUGCAAAUAUACAGAUCGCCGACUCCUGUACACGCGCCCGCUGCGGACACGCGUGGCGUGAAAAUAAUGCGUGACGAAAACCAACGUAACACUAACUCGCUGACCGCUCGGUCUGCUCUCCGACUAUUUCCAUUAUAACACGCGUUCUAUAAAAAUCUCUCCAACACAACCGUCGACUCGCACAGAGAAUAUAAACCUUAUCCCGCAAGGAAUACGGUAUAUGUUAGUAUUCCUGGAGUCUGCUAUUGAAAAACUAAUGUACUGUCGCGUGACGUCACCUCUCGGCAGUCGCUACUCGCUAGACACUAGUCAGUGUCGUGACCCGCGGUCCGAGCGUCGGGUGUGCUCUGUGCAGCGAGCGGGCGUGCGUCUAAAUUAGCGUCGUCCAACUGAAGAAGAAGCGUCUCUCGUCGUUCACUCGAUGAUAAGUUAAUAAUAUAAUGUUACGAGACUCGCUCUCCGCCUGAGGGACUGGUCAAACUAGCGGUCACCUGACGCACAAGCGGGAGAGGGCCCGUCUAGUGAGUGUAAGGUGUGUGUGUUCAUCCAACAGCGGGUGCUCUGACGUUACAAACAGACGCUAAUUUUGUUUCAUUUUGAAAAAUAUUGCCUUUACAUACUCGUGUCGUACAUUGUAAAAUAUUUUCUCUAUUUUCGAUUAAUUCCAAUUGUCAUUAAAAGAUAAUAUUUUAAAUAUAUAAAAAGAUAUCCACGUCUCAUGUUAAGAGUGAAUAUUUUUUUCCAGACGCCUCUAGAUAUAAAUAAACUGACAUUUCAAGGAGAAAAUACAAGAAGCGGGUCGAUCGCUUUUAUGAAAACGCUAUUU